CCUACGGGUGGCUGCAGUGAGGACUAUUGGUCAAUGGACGAGAGUCUGACCCAGCCAAGUAGCGUGAAGGAUGACUGCCCUAUGGGUUGUAAACUUCUUUUAUAAAGGAAUAAAACGAGGCAUGCGUGCCGUAUUGCAUGUACUUUAUGAAUAAGGAUCGGCUAACUCCGUGCCAGCAGCCGAGGUAAUGCGGAGGUUCCGAGCGUUAUCCGGAUUUAUUGGGUUUAAAGGGAGCGUAGAUGGGUUGUUAAGUCAGUUGUGAAAGUUUGCGGCUCAACCGUAAAAUUGCAAUUGAUACUGGCAGUCUUGAGUACAGUUGAGGUAGGCGGAAUUCGUGGUGUAGCGGUGAAAUGCGUAGAUAUCACGAAGAACCCCGAUUGCGAAGGCAGAUUACUAAACUGUGACUGACAUUGAUGCUCGAAAGUGUGGGUAUCAAACAGGAUUAGAUACCCUAGUAGUC
rnacentral:rRNA from 1 species